rnacentral:rRNA from 1 species
UACGUAGGUGGCGAGCGUUGUCCGGAUUUACUGGGCGUAAAGGGAGCGUAGGCGGACUUUUAAGUGAGAUGUGAAAUACCCGGGCUCAACUUGGGUGCUGCAUUUCAAACUGGAAGUCUAGAGUGCAGCAGAGGGGAGUGGAAUUCCUAGUGUAGCGGUGAAAUGCGUAGAUAUUAGGAGGAACACCAGUAGCGAAGGCGGCUCUCUGGACUGUAACUGACGCUGAGGCACGAAAGCGUGGGGAGCAAACAGGAUUAGAUACCCU